CCUACGGGAGGCAGCAGUGGGGAAUAUUGCACAAUGGGGGAAACCCUGAUGCAGCGACGCCGCGUGAGUGAAGAAGUAAUUCGGUAUGUAAAGCUCUAUCAGCAGGGAAGAAAAUGACGGUACCUGAGUAAGAAGCCCCGGCUAACUACGUGCCAGCAGCCGCGGUAAUACGUAGGGGGCAAGCGUUAUCCGGAUUUACUGGGUGUAAAGGGAGCGUAGGCGGUCUGGCAAGUCUGAUGUGAAAUACCGGGGCCCAACCCCGGGGCUGCAUUGGGAACUGCCAGGCUGGAGUGCCGGAGAGGCAGGCGGAAUUCCUAGUGUAGCGGUGAAAUGCGUAGAUAUUAGGAGGAACACCAGUGGCGAAGGCGGCCUGCUGGACGGUGACUGACGCUGAGGCUCGAAGGCGUGGGGAGCAAACAGGAUUAGAUACCCUUGUAGUC
rnacentral:rRNA from 1 species